ensembl:lncRNA
AUAACAUAAAUAAUAAUGUCUUUAAUAAUUAUGACAGUCCAAUUAAUACAAUGAUUGAACUGAAAAGUCAUAUAAACGACAACAUGUUUGAUCUAUCUCCAUCCCAUUUCGAUAAAAAUAACAAAAAAAUAAAUGAACAGUCAUGUAAUAACACAAUAAAUAUGGAAAGUAAAUACAUACAUAGUUUUUCACAAACCAAUAUAAAAAAAAAAACGACAAUCCUAUUACUAAACCGUGUAUUAAAAAGUCACUCAGUAACAAAUUAAGUAUAUUUACUAACUUACUCCCAGUAUGGAAUAAAAAUAAUAUAAAAUUACAAAAAAGAGCAUAUACAAUUAAUUAUAGUAACUUACAUCCUACUAUAUAUAAAAAUCAAUUAUUUAUAAAAAAACAUACUCCAAGUAUAUUUAAUAUUACUGAAAAAAAUGAUUCUAAUAAAAAUAAUAAUACAAAUAUUAUAUUAAAUAAAAAAGAAAAAACAUGUUCUAAUAUUAAUUCUAAUAGAUAUAAAUAUAACAGUAACAAUUAUAACGUUGUAAAUUAUAACAUUUAUGAUAGUACUCAUACAAAUACAGCAAACAAAAGAAGUAAAACUACAAACUUUCUUCCCAUUCAACAUUUAAACCAUAAUUUAAAUAUAAAUACAAAAAAAAAAUAUAUUUAUAUCUACGAUGAUAAAAAUAUUAAAACCUAUAAUUCAGUUCAAAAAAUUAAUAAUAAUAUGUUAUAUAAUAAUAAAACAAGUAGUAAUAAUAACAACAAUUGUUGUACUUCAAAUUUCGAUACUUCUUUUAAAAAAUUCCAAAAAGUUAGUACUAACCAUGACAAAACUAACCAUGACAAAACUAACCAUGACAAAACUAACCAUGAAAAAUUAAACAAUAGCUCAACUAAUAUAGUUAAAAAUAACAAAACGGAUGAAAAAAAAAGAACACAAUCGUAUACAAACAUGAUAUUAACAUUUUUUGGGAUAAAUACUGCAGAUAAUGGAAAUAAAAAUGGCACCAAAAAUGGCAUCAAAAAUGGCACCGAAAAUGGUACCGAAAAUGGUACCGAAAAUGGUACCGAAAAUGGUACCGAAAAUGGCACCAAAAAUGGCACCGAAAAUGGCACCGAAAAUGGCAC